rnacentral:rRNA from 1 species
GACGAACGCUGGCGGCGUGCUUAACACAUGCCAGUCGAACGUGAUUUUUGUGGAAAUUCUUUCGGGAAUGGAAAUGAAAUGAAAGUGGCGAACGGGUGAGUAACACGUGAGCAACCUACCUUACACAGGGGGAUAGCCGUUGGAAACGACGAUUAAUACCGCAUGAGACCACAGAAUCGCAUGAUAUAGGGGUCAAAGAUUUAUCGGUGUAAGAAGGGCUCGCGUCUGAUCAGCUAGUUGGAAGGGUAAAGGCCUACCAAGGCGACGAUCAGUAGCCGGUCUGAGAGGAUGAACGGCCACAUUGGAACUGAGACACGGUCCAAACUCCUACGGGAGGCAGCAGUGGGGAAUAUUGCACAAUGGGGGGAACCCUGAUGCAGCGACGCCGCGUGAGCGAAGAAGGUUUUCGAAUCGUAAAGCUCUGUCCUAUGAGAAGAUAAUGACGGUAUCAUAGGAGGAAGCCCCGGCUAAAUACGUG